UACGUAGGGGGCAAGCGUUGUCCGGAAUCAUUGGGCGUAAAGAGCGUGUAGGCGGCUUGGCAAGUCUGGUGUGAAAUCUUGCGGCUCAACCGCAAGCGGUCACUGGAAACUGCCUCGCUAGAGUCCGGAAGAGGAGAGCGGAAUUCCUGGUGUAGCGGUGGAAUGCGCAGAUAUCAGGAAGAACACCCGUGGCGAAGGCGGCUAUCUGGAUAGAAACUGACACUGAAACACGAAAGCAAUGGGGUAGCAAACAGG
rnacentral:rRNA from 1 species